rnacentral:rRNA from 1 species
GACGAACGCUGGCGGCGUGCUUAACACAUGCAAGUCGAACGGAAAGGCCCUGCUUUUGUGGGGUGCUCGAGUGGCGAACGGGUGAGUAACACGUGAGUAACCUGCCCUUGACUUUGGGAUAACUUCAGGAAACUGGGGCUAAUACCGGAUAGGAGCUCCUGCUGCAUGGUGGGGGUUGGAAAGUUUCGGCGGUUGGGGAUGGACUCGCGGCUUAUCAGCUUGUUGGUGGGGUAGUGGCUUACCAAGGCUUUGACGGGUAGCCGGCCUGAGAGGGUGACCGGCCACAUUGGGACUGAGAUACGGCCCAGACUCCUACGGGAGGCAGCAGUGGGGAAUAUUGCACAAUGGGCGGAAGCCUGAUGCAGCAACGCCGCGUGAUUUAGAAGGCCUUCGGGUUGUAAAAAUCUUUUGUAUAGGAAGAAAAUGACAGUACUAUACGAAUAAGGUCCGGCUAAUUACGUG